rnacentral:lncRNA from 1 species
UUCUAAUAAAUUGAAAAAUAAAAAUGCAGAAAAUGUACUAUACUAUAUUCCCAUAAAUAAAUUUUCUUACCAAAAAUGCAAAUGACAGUCCUUAAAAGUCAUUUCCAGAAGUAAUGUGACGUCAAUUUCAAAGAAAACUGUUAUUAUAUAAAAUCUACCUUUUACAUACAAUUUUGGUCCCAAGUGCUACACAUACACCCCUUAUACACUAAACAUAUAAGAAAAUUUAUCUCAGUCUCCAAACUUAAGUCUUUCCCCCUCAAGAUUAUAGCACACUUAAUAAGUGGAAUUUAGGGAUUCCUUUCGUGGCUCAGUGGUUAGCGAAUCCAACUAGGAACCAUGAGGUUGCGGGUUCAAUCCCUGGCCGUGCUCCGUGGGUUAAGGAUCCAGCAUUGCUAUGAGCUGUGGUGUAGGUUGCAGACGCAGCUCGGAUCCCGCAUUGCUGUGGCUAUGGUGUAGGCUGGUGGCUACGGCUCUGAUUCGACCCCUACCUAGCCUGGGAAUCUCCAUAUGCCGCGAGAGAUUUUUGCCAAGAAAUGGCAAAAAAAGACUUUAAAAAAUAAAAAUAAAAAAUAAGUAGAAUUUAAACAUUAACAGAAACAGGCUCUUCUAGGAUUGCUUGUGCAGCAUUUUAGUAAAUGUGAUUUUGCAAGCCUGUAACAAGCUGUUAGGUGUUUUGAGUGCCAUAGGAAGACAGUCUUAUGCCCCACGUAAUCCUGCAUCUUACUGGGGUGAACUGCAGUAAAUGACAUUCCUGGGGUCUGUACCCCUUUUAAUUUUCCCUCCUGCACCACUGUAGAUAACUCUCCUAGGGCAUUUGUGGUUUGCUGAUGGGAAUGAUUUUAUCAACCCUAAGUCAAUUUUCAUUCCCAGUUACAUUCUUACUCAGAACUACCCAUAUAUUAGUCUUUCAUUAUAAAAUAAUGCCCUGCUUUCAGACUCUCGCUCUAUUUUGGUACAUCCUUUUAAAGUAAAACGCAUGCCAUUAAAACACAUUUGUUCCAUUGAGUCAGAUUUUUAGACUCAUUAUGAUGCUCUUUGUUGACACAAUAGCUCCUUCAGACACACAACAAUCUGUCAUAAAAGACCCAUACUUGGAUGGAUGACAAAAGUGUUUUGCAAAGGCUGUCUUCUCAAUGCAGUUGCUGUCAAAGACAUAUAUUAAUAUCGUCCUAGUUAAAGAGUAUUUAGUCUAAAGCCAUUUAAAUAGAAAAUGACUUCAUGAGCUAUUUCUGCAAGUUCAGUUGCUUCUGAGAACCCAGUGUUAUCACAUACUCAGCGGCAGACAUGAAGAGCAGCUAAUGUCAUCCUGAGCGCCCCGCCAGGAACGAGUCUCUGCCUUUCUGGACCUUGGAAUGGAUUCCCAAUCAUUGAUUUUUCAUUUUUUCCACAAUCAAUAAGCAUUUCAGAUUUCAACUCACGUAAACGCUUGUCUUAUAUCAGUAGAAAAAUAAAAAGCCUAUGUGAAAAUGCUACCAGGUUCAAAAUAUUAAAGUUGGGUCAUCUGUUACAAAAAUAAAUCUGAAAAUAAAAAUGUGUUUUUUCCCCUCAGGAGUAUUAAAACUAGCACCUAAAAGAGAGGGGGUAACAUAUCCUCCAGAGUGAGGUCAUGUUUUAUUCUUAAUCACUCCUGAUAGACUUAGGACUCAAAGGUAAUAUUUGGGGCAAUUAAAAUGCCAUAUUGAGCUUACACCAGACAGACAGAAAGAAGAGGAAUAAGAAUAUGUUUCAAAAUUUAAUUUCUGCACCAUUUUAUUUGCUAUGCUACCAUUUAAGUUCUGAUUUAUCUCUUUCUAGAAUAUAAAUGGUAACGCCAAAAUAUUUUGAGCGCCAAUUAUGUAUUUAUAAAGAUAGAGCUAGAAAGAAGCUUAGAGUUCAGAAACAUUAAGUGAUUUAAGAUCAUAUAGCCAGCUGAUGAAAAACCAAAGACCAGAGUUUAAUGUUUAAUAAAAUAUCUAGGAAUUAACAAGAAAGAUGCAGGGCCAGUUCAAAACUUUAUCUGAAGAACAUAAAAGAAUGCUACUGAAGGGUGACACCUUAUCCAUUACUGGAUGAGAAGAAUGAAUAAUACAAAAAUAUCAAAUAUCUUCCAAAUAAAUCUAGAGUCACCUCAUUUAUUACAAGAAAAUUCUUGUUGAACCUUAACAAGAGUGAGAAAGAAAGUUGGAAGAUUAAAAGGGUUGUGAGAAGGAAGGGAGCCAAGACAUUUCUUUUUAAUAAAAUUACAUUAAAUUUUUAAAAGAGAGACUAUUAAUGCUAUAUAUUAAUACAAUCUAUAUAGUGGCAAUGCUUAAAAUACUGUUAUACUGGUAUAAGAUUAGGAAGCAUGGCGCUGAAGAAGUAUACAAAGCCCACGUAUCAAAACAUCUUCAUGAAUGAGAGAGGCAGUAAUUCAAUCCAGAGAGAGGAGAAUUGUUCAAUUCCCGGGAUAAUUGGCCACUGCUAGAAACCCAAUGUUAGAUCCCUAUUCUAAACAAUAUAGCAAAAAUAAGGUCAUUGUGAAUUGAAGAGCCAAGUGUAAAGUAAGUGGAAAAGCAGGAAAAAUAAAAGUCAAAUACAACAAUUCUGAAAUGUAAAAGGACUUUAUAAUACUAAAAACAGAAUCCAUGGACAAAAAGAUUAAUUAAUCUGAGUAUAUAAAAAUAUGAAAAGUCUACACCAGAAAAUUUCAUAUCCUGAGUUUAAAAACACUUAGGGGGAGGAGAUCCCGUCGUGGCCCAGUGGUUAACGAAUCCAACUAGGAACCAUGAGGUUUCGGUUCGGUCCCUGGCCUUGCUCAGUGGGUUAAGGUGCUGCCAUAAACUGUGGUGUAAGUCGCAGAUGCUGCUUGGAUCCAGCGUUGCUGUGGCUGUGGCAGAGGCCGCCCACUACAGCUUCCAUUUGACCCCUAGCCUUGAAGCCUCCAUAUGCCACAAGUGCAGCCCUAAAAAGACAAAAAAAAAAAGUGCUUGUCGACCCAGCUAUUUGAUCAUAAGAAUUUAUUCUAAGGAAAGGAUCAGAGUGUACACAAAGAUAUAUCUUUAAGGGUAUUCAUUAGAGCAUCAUUUAAACAGUGUAAAUUUUUUAAAAAAAAAACCUAAAUGUUCAACGAAAAGGAACUAAUUAAAUACAUUUUCCCAUUAAUGCCUAUAUGAUGUAAUACAAAACAGCCACUAAAACUAGUUUAAAUCACUAAUGCCUUGGGAAAAUGUUCACAACUGAUUGUUAGAAAAAGAACCAAAGAAUUUAUCAUAUAAUCAGAAGUGAUUAAUUUAUGAUUUAUGAUUAGAAUUAUAUGUAAUAUGUAUAUAUCCUUAAUUCUUGAGACUGGAUACCCAAAAAUCUUAACUAUAGCUCUGUCCAGGGUGAUGAGAUUAUCAUGCUAUUUAUUUUCUCCCCUGGGUUUCUCCUAAACAUCCAUCUUUUCCAAAAUUAACAGUAUUAAUUUUCCAAAAGAUCAGUUAUUCCAAUAGGUAUUAUGAUGUACUAAUAUAUCAAUAUGUUAAAAUUAAAAUAUUUCAAUAUAUGAAUACACUAAAAUAGGAAUAGCUGAUAAAAAUUUCA